GGGAUUGCCUCAGUAACGGCGAGUGAAGCGGCAACAGCUCAAAUUUGAAAUCUGGCUCCUCUCGGGGUCCGAGUUGUAAUUUGUAGAGAGUGUUUCGGGGGAGACCGCGGUCUAAGUCCAUUGGAACAUGGCGUCAUAGAGGGUGAGAAUCCCGUCUGUGACCGCGGAUCGAGCCCAUGUGAAGCCUCUUCGACGAGUCGAGUUGUUUGGGAAUGCAGCUCAAAAUGGGUGGUAAAUUUCAUCUAAAGCUAAAUACUGGCUGGAGACCGAUAGCGCACAAGUAGAGUGAUCGAAAGAUGAAAAGCACUUUGGAAAGAGAGUUAAACAGUACGUGAAAUUGUUGAAAGGGAAGCGCUUGCGACCAGACCUGCCCGUGGGCGAUCAGCCGCUGUUCUCAGCGGUGCACUCGUUCCACGAUCAGGCCAGCAUCGGUUUCGGCGGUCGGAUAAAGGCCUUGGGAAUGUAGCUUCCCUCCGGGGGAGUCUUAUAGCCCUUGGUGCAAUGCGGCCAGCCGGGACCGAGGACCGCGCUUCGGCUAGGAUGCUGGCGUAAUGGUCGUAAGCGACCCGUCUUGAAACACGGACCAAGGAGUCUAACAUCUAUGCGAGUGUUUGGGUGUCAAACCCAUGCGCGGAAUGAAAGUGAACGGAGGUGAGAACCCUUAAGGGCGCAUCAUCGACCGAUCCAGAUGUCUUCGGAUGGAUUUGAGUAUGAGCAUAGCUGUUGGGACCCGGUAUGUCUUUUACUCCUGCAUCCCCUAUUGUAUGAAAUUUGCUAACAGUUUGAUUUUAGAAAGAUGGUGAACUAUGCCUGAAUAGGGUGAAGCCAGAGGAAACUCUGGUGGAGGCUCGCAGCGGUUCUGACGUGCAAAUCGAUCGUCAAAUUUGGGUAUAGGGGCGAAAGACUAAUC
rnacentral:rRNA from 1 species